UUGGAGGGCAAGUCUGGUGCCAGCAGCCGCGGUAAUUCCAGCUCCAAUAGCGUAUAUUAAAGUUGUUGCAGUUAAAAAGCUCGUAGUUGAAUUUCGGGGUUCUACCGUUGGUCGGGCUUUGUCUGUACUGGUGUGUAGAAUUUCUACCUUCUGGGGAACCAUCAUGCUAUUAAUUUAGCGUGGUGGGAAACCAGGACCUUUACCUUGAAAAAAUUAGUGUGUUCAAAGCAGGCUUAUGUCUGAAUACAUUAGCGUGGAAUAAUAGAAUAGGACGGUGGUCCUGUUUUGUUGGUUUCUGAAUCACCGUAAUGAUUAAUAGGGAUAGUUGGGGGCAUUAGUAUUCAAUUGUCAGAGGUGGAAUUCUUGGAUUUAUUGAAGACUAACUUCCGCGAAAGCAUUUGCCAAGGAUGUUUUCAUUAAUCAAGAACGAAAGUUAGGGGAUCGAAGACGAUCAGAUACCGUCGUAGUCUUAACCAUAAACUAUGCCGACUAGGGAUCGGAUGAUGUUAAUUUUUUAAUGACUCAUUCGGCGCCUUACGGGAAAC
rnacentral:rRNA from 1 species